UCUCCAGGAUUGGGAGUGAAGAACACUGCCAUAAUAUAUGAAUACUUUGUAAGAAAAUAUCAAUCAUGUUGUUACUGACCAACAACUUUAUACACUCCUUUACCAGUUCCUGUCAUCAUCAGAAACUCAUCACAAUGUUCAUCAUCAGUCUCAAAAUGUGUGUUGUUGUGUUCAGUGUUGAAUGUGAGAGAUGUGAGUCUGUCCUGGUAUAAAGGAAACAGUUUAUUGUCCAGCAUCAGUGUGUCUGAUCUCAACAUCAGACUCUCUCUAUCUCUGGAGGUUGAAUAUCAGGAUACAAACACAUACAGAUGUGUACUCAACAAUACCAUCACAAAACAAACUCAACAUCUCAACAUCAAUGACGUCUGUCAGAUCUGUUCAGAAAACCAACAGUAUUUAAUGCUGAUAGUUGUUGUGGUGGCGAUAGUGUUGUUGGUGGUUGUUGCAUUAGUGAUUUGCCACACCUGCAAAAAGUUUAAACGAUCAACUAAAGAAG